GCUGCAGAGCGUGGACUCCUGGCUUCGCCCCGGCCAUGGCUCCGGGUCAAAGCCGUGUGGCAACGCCUAAACUCCGGCUGCGGUGACCUGCCCUCGUCGGUGCCCCUUGGUCCUUGGGGCUAAAUCCUUUUCCGGGUCAGACAUUCGACGCGGUCAUUCCAUUUGGUAUUUCUAGAGGCAUGUUCUGUGCGUUGGGGACUUAAUGCAGAAGUGUGACAAGAACGUUGGAGUUUGUAACGCUCUCAAACUGCCAGCUAACCCACAUUUUUGUUGUUGGGCAAAGUUAUUUUCUCAUGCAUGCAGCCUCCUACAACACCUUUAAAGAAUGUCAGCUAUGUGCUGUAGCAUGUCUUCUAGGUUCAGUCUAUACAGAACAGAGACGUGUGUGUGUGUGUGUGCGUGCUUCUGAAACCUCACACACUUUCAGUCAAACAGCAAAAGAAAAUCAGAAAACAAUUUAAUAGAAAUAAAAGACGUGUAUGACUUCCUUUCUUAAAUUAUCCUGUUUGGUUAAGUUUUAAAGGGUUACAGCUUGACUUGUAAUGUGUGUGUUGGCAUUUGUACGAUCUGGUAUAAAAGGGAAUAUCCACUCAACAACUGGUAUUUUUUUAAUUAGUCCGCUGUUGAUACAGUCCCAAAAAUGUUUUGCAUUUCAGCAGUCAGGUCUUCCAGAUAUUGGACCUUAUUGGAUAUUGUCACUGGCCACAUCAUCAUGUUGAUUUGUUUUGCUGAUGAGUUUCCCCUUAAAGGGACAUUUCACCUGUCACGACUUCCGCCGAAGUUGGUUCCUGUCCUUGUUCGGGCGGCGGUCGGCGUCGCCGGUCUUCAAGCCAUCAUCGAUCCACUUUUCAUUUUCCAUUUGUCUUGUCUUCCCACACACCUGGUUUCAACUCCAUAAUGACAUCUUGUGUAUUUCACGCUCUGUUCCCCCAAUGUCCUUGUCCGGAACUGUCUAUUGUAAGUGCGUGUGCACGUAUUUCUGGUGUGCGACGGGUUUCGCACCCAUUGUAUUGAUUUUUCUGUUUACGGUGAUUUUAUUUAUUAAACUGUGCCGUUGUAAAACA